rnacentral:SRP_RNA from 1 species
GCUGGGUGUGGUGGCGCACACCUGUAAUCCCAGCUACUCAGGAGGCUGAAGCACGAGGAUUGCUUGAACCCAGGAGGUGGAGGUUGCAGUGAGCUGAGAUCGUGCCACUGCACUCCUGCCUGGGCGACAGAGCAAGACCCUGUCUCAA